AUUGAACGCUGGCGGCAGGCUUAACACAUGCAAGUCGAGCGGAGAGAGGUAGCUUGCUACUGAUCUUAGCGGCGGACGGGUGAGUAAUGCUUAGGAAUCUGCCUAUUAGUGGGGGACAACAUUUCGAAAGGAAUGCCAAUACCGCAUGCGUCCUACGGGAGAAAGCAGGGGAUGUUCGGACCUUGCGCUAACAGAUGAGCUUAAGUCGGAUUAGCUAGUUGGUGGGGUAAAGGCCUACCAAGGCGACGAUCUGUAGCGGGUCUGAGAGGAUGAUCCGCCACACUGGGACUGAGACACGGCCCAGACUCCUACGGGAGGCAGCAGUGGGGAAUAUUGGACAAUGGGCGGAAGCCUGAUCCAGCCAUGCCGCGUGUGUGAAGAAGGCCUUAUGGUUGUAAAGCACUUUAAGCGAGGAGGAGGCUACUUUAGUUAAUACCUAGAGAUAGUGGACGUUACUCGCAGAAUAAGCACCGGCUAACUCUGCGCCAGCCGCCGCCGUAACAC
rnacentral:rRNA from 1 species